rfam:Schistosoma mansoni strain Puerto Rico chromosome 3, complete genome
AGCCUUCUGUAUCCGUGCUGAGACUUCGUCAAACACUGGACCAUAAGGGCUGGUGAGACUCUCAAGAUAAGUGAAGCG